GGGUCUAAUGAUGGAUGAGUACAGUGGGACAAUGACCUCCUUUUUUUCUGGAUGAAAAGCCCUUAGUGAUGAGGUGUGCCACAUAGAAGGAUUUCUUGACUGUUGGGGUGAUGUGGUUAUCGAAAGUGAGACCACUGUCCACCUGUGUCCCUAAGUCUCU